UACAGAGGCCCCAAGCGUUGUUCGGAUUCACUGGGCGUAAAGGGUGCGUAGGUGGUGAGGUAAGUCGGAUGUGAAAGCUCGGAGCUCAACUCCGAAAUGGCAUUGGAAACUACCUUGCUCGAGGGUUGGAGGGGGGACUGGAAUACUUGGUGUAGCAGUGAAAUGCGUAGAUAUCAAGUGGAACACCAGUGGCGAAGGCGAGUCCCUGGACAACUCCUGACACUGAGGCACGAAAGCGUGGGGAGCGAACAGG
rnacentral:rRNA from 1 species